rnacentral:rRNA from 1 species
UGCCAGCAGCCGCGGUAAUACGGAGGGUGCAAACGUUGCUCGGAAUCAUUGGGCGUAAAGCGCACGUAGGCGGCUAAGUAUGUCGACUGUGAAAGCCCUCGGCUUAACCGAGGAAGUGCAGCCGAAACUGCUUAGCUUGAGUACGGGAGAGGGUAGCGGAAUUCCCGGUGUAGAGGUGAAAUCCGUAGAUAUUCGGAGGAACACCAGUGGCGAAGGCGGCUUUCUGGACCGAUACUGACGCUGAGACGCGAAAGCGUGGGGAGCAAACAGGAUUAGAUA